rnacentral:siRNA from 1 species
GACAAAAAAUGUGUGGGUUCAGCGU